rnacentral:rRNA from 1 species
GACGUAGGUGGCGAACGUUAUCCGGAAUCAUUGGGCGUAAAGGGUGCGUAGGCGGCAAGAUAAGUUAUUGGUGGGAAAUCGAGGCUCAACCUCGUGGAAACUGAUAAUACUGUCUCGCUUGAGUACAGGAGAGGUUAACGGAAUUCUUUGUGGAGGGGUAAAAUCCAAAGAUAUAAAGGAGAACAUCAAUAACGGCGAAGGCAGUUAACUAUUCUGUUACUGACGCUGAGGCACGAAAAGCGUGGGGGAGCAAAAACGG